GUGCUUGUUUGGACAGCACAUCUACUAAAGAAGAAUGAUAAAGGGAAAAAAAUAGCAUUGUCCCUGUGAAAGGAUGGCAAAAAAGUUCAGAAAUCAUUCCAUAUUUUU